rnacentral:rRNA from 1 species
UUGAAGAGUUUGAUCAUGGCUCAGAUUGAACGCUGGCGGCAGGCCUAACACAUGCAAGUCGAACGGUAACAGGAAACAGCUUGCUGUUUCGCUGACGAGUGGCGGACGGGUGAGUAAUGUCUGGGAAACUGCCUGAUGGAGGGGGAUAACUACUGGAAACGGUAGCUAAUACCGCAUAACGUCGCAAGACCAAAGAGGGGGACCUUCGGGCCUCUUGCCAUCGGAUGUGCCCAGAUGGGAUUAGCUAGUAGGUGGGGUAACGGCUCACCUAGGCGACGAUCCCUAGCUGGUCUGAGAGGAUGACCAGCCACACUGGAACUGAGACACGGUCCAGACUCCUACGGGAGGCAGCAGUGGGGAAUAUUGCACAAUGGGCGCAAGCCUGAUGCAGCCAUGCCGCGUGUAUGAAGAAGGCCUUCGGGUUGUAAAGUACUUUCAGCGGGGAGGAAGGGAGUAAAGUUAAUACCUUUGCUCAUUGACGUUACCCGCAGAAGAAGCACCGGCUAACUCCGUGCCAGCAGCCGCGGUAAUACGGAGGGUGCAAGCGUUAAUCGGAAUUACUGGGCGUAAAGCGCACGCAGGCGGUUUGUUAAGUCAGAUGUGAAAUCCCCGGGCUCAACCUGGGAACUGCAUCUGAUACUGGCAAGCUUGAGUCUCGUAGAGGGGUAGAAUUCCGUGUAGCGGUGAAAUGCGUAGAUCUGGAGGAAUACCGGUGGCGAAGGCGGCCCCGGACGAAGACUGACGCUCAGGUGCGAAAGCGUGGGGAGCAAACAGGAUUAGAUACCCUGGUAGUCCACGCCGUAAACGAUGUCGACUUGGAGGUUGUGCCCUUGAGGCGUGGCUUCCGGAGCUAACGCGUUAAGUCGACCGCCUGGGGAGUACGGCCGCAAGGUUAAAACUCAAAUGAAUUGACGGGGGCCCGCACAAGCGGUGGAGCAUGUGGUUUAAUUCGAUGCAACGCGAAGAACCUUACCUGGUCUUGACAUCCACGGAAGUUUUCAGAGAUGAGAAUGUGCCUUCGGGAACCGUGAGACAGGUGCUGCAUGGCUGUCGUCAGCUCGUGUUGUGAAAUGUUGGGUUAAGUCCCGCAACGAGCGCAACCCUUAUCCUUUGUUGCCAGCGGUCCGGCCGGGAACUCAAAGGAGACUGCCAGUGAUAAACUGGAGGAAGGUGGGGAUGACGUCAAGUCAUCAUGGCCCUUACGACCGGGCUACACGUGCUACAAUGGCGCAUACAAAGAGAAGCGACCUCGCGAGAGCAAGCGGACCUCAUAAAGUGCGUCGUAGUCCGGAUUGGAGUCUGCAACUCGACUCCAUGAAGUCGGAAUCGCUAGUAAUCGUGGAUCAGAAUGCCACGGUGAAUACGUUCCCGGGCCUUGUACACACCGCCCGUCACACCAUGGGAGUGGGUUGCAAAAGAAGUAGGUAGCUUAACCUUCGGGAGGGCGCUUACCACUUUGUGAUUCAUGACUGGGGUGAAGUCGUAACAAGGUAACCGUAGGGGAACCUGCGGUUGGAUCACCUCCUU